CACGUAGGGGGCAAGCGUUGUCCGGAUUUAUUGGGCGUAAAGAGCUCGUAGGCGGCUGAGUAAGUCGGAUGUUAAAUCCCCAGGCUCAACCUGGGACACCACCGAUACUGCUCUGGCUAGAGUCCGGUAGGGGAGCGUGGAAUUCCUGGUGUAGCGGUGAAAUGCGCAGAGUAUCGGGAAGGAACACCGGUGGCGAAAGCGGCGCGCUGGACCUCUUCUGACGCUGACGGCGCGAAAGCCAGGGGAGCAAAGCGGG
rnacentral:rRNA from 1 species